rnacentral:rRNA from 1 species
AACGAACGCUGGCGGCAGGCCUAACACAUGCAAGUCGAGCGAAGCCUUCGGGCUUAGCGGCGGACGGGUGAGUAACGCGUGGGAACGUGCCCUUUGGUACGGAAUAGCCCCGGGAAACUGGGAGUAAUACCGUAUGUGGUCGAGAGACGAAAGAUUUAUCGCCAAAGGAUCGGCCUGCGUUGGAUUAGGUAGUUGGUGGGGCAAUGGCCUACCAAGCCGACGAUCCAUAGCUGGUUUGAGAGGAUGAUCAGCCACACUGGGACUGAGACACGGCCCAGACCCCUACGGGAGGCAGCAGUGGGGAAUCUUAGACAAUGGGGGAAACCUUGAUCUAGCCAUGCCGCGUGAUCGAUGAAGGCCUUAGGGUUGUAAAGAUCUUUCAGUGGGGAAGAUAAUGACUGUACCCACAGAAGAAGCCCCGGCUAACUCCGUGCCAGCAGCCGCCGUAACAC